GUUAUAAAACCAAUGAGAGGGCGAGUGAAACCUAGCGGAGGUGGGACGAAGGGAUUAACUAAUAGAAAAGCGGGAAGCCAAACCUCCUGACCAAUAAGAAUGACUGAAGAGUGACAGACCGUGGAAGGAGGCGGGUGCUGUGCGAGAAGAGGCGGGCCUAUCUAAAAAGAAUGGUUAAAGGGAGCCAAUGAAAAGGGAAGUGGGCGGAGGUUAGGUUGACAGACAGUGACAGCUAUUUGGGCGGUGACAGACAGCAUCCGCAGUCAAUAGCAGCUGAGGGAUUCUUUGGGUCUUCCAAGAAGGUCCGGAAGGAAUGACAGCUGCGAGGGGCGGGCCAAAUUUGCGAUUAAUUUGCCUCGUCAGCCAAUGAAUGCAUCCUCUCACUUUAGGGAUAAGGGAGGAAGAGAGACAGCUGUCUCAGCCAAUGGCAGCAUUCAAAGGAAAGGGGUGCUACCAGCAGGCGGUGCCAAGCCAGGGAUGUCGGUGACAACCGGAGACAAGCGCGGGAGGGAGUGACAGUUGGGGACAGCGCGGAGAGGGGCGGGGUUCGGGGGCAUUGGUGAAACCCUUAGCCAAUAAGCGCCACGCUGCCCUGCCUGAGUCCUUUCUUGGGCCAGUUCUCCAUUCAGCUCCCAAACUCACCACUUGAUUAGGUGCUCUCUGAUCAAGUACUCUUGCCCUUCACUCUGUCUCUCAUUCUUAUCCCAGUCCGCUACAAACCCCAGGUGACUAUAACAAGACCCCCCAAAUCCUGUAACUCGUCCUUCUGGAUCCACCGUUUCCUGCGGGUAUCCCAACCCCUAAGUCCCUGUCCUCAGAUCCAUCUAUCUGAGCUCCUCCCAGAAUCCAGGCUCCAGUUCCUCAGAACUCAUCCUCCGAGUGCCCCCUCCAUUCUAGUGGGAAGCCCAAACCCCAAAUCAUGGAUUCCCACUACCAUGAACUCCCGUAUCUCUGUUCUUAUUCUUUGGGGGAUGCAGAACAAACCCUCGGAACUCCUCUCUCCUCAUUGACACACUCACUGUUCUGUGCUCCUUCUCUGCUAGGAAACCAGACUCCAAUCUCAUAAUCCCCCUACUCCCCGCCUCACCCCACCCCAGCUACCCUAGACCACAAACACAAAGCCCAGACUUUACCAGCCCCUCCUCUCUCUGGGCUCCAUUUCCCUGAGGCCCAGGAUUCAGGAUUCAGCCCCAGAAGGGCUCCAAUUUCUGUGCAAAGUCCACCAUCCUGAAAUUUCAGUCAGGCCUAGCUAGCUCCCAGCUUCCCAGUUGCUUGGUCUCUGAGUUCUCUGAGGCUCCUUUUCCCAGCUCAGACUCAGAUCCUGUGAACUCCAGUGUCUGAGAUCUGCCGCUCUUGAUCUCCUUCUCUUCAAACUCCCCACUUUCCAUUAGGCCCAAGCUUUCUAAGCACUUCCUCCAUUCCCUUCUAUUGAGUUCUCCUCCCCUCCCACAACCCAGUAAGAAGUGGGCUCUUCCCUGCACCUGGACCCCCAUGGUAACCUUAUAAGGUCAGUCAGCUGUCGACUGAGGCAGGGAGGGGCCAGUGCAGGAGGCCAAGGGCAGCUGCUAAGUUUAGGGUGGCUCCUUCUCCCUUCUUAGAGACAACAGGUGGCUCGACCUCAGUGCCCAGAAAAGAAACUGUCUUAGAGGCAUUGGCAUGAGUCUGGAGGAGGGAGCGGGGAGGAGGCAACUUCUUCAGGACAUCAGGUCCCAAAGGGAGCAGGAGGAGGAGGAGACAUGGGUGUCCUUGCCAACCUUGAACCUCCUGGGCUUCCUCAGCCACUAUUUCCCCAGACCUCCACUGUAUGGAAUGGACUGAGGCACUAAGGCCCAGAAGGUUGGGAGAGGGAACCUCAAAAUCACACAGUCAACCAAGCUGGUUCUUGCCCAGAUUGGAGAGAGAAGCCAUUGGCCAUCCAGCCACCAAGGUGGAGCUUUUUCAAAGCUUUUCAAGGCUCCCAAGGUCUCAACCUUCAGUCUGGCAUUGAAGACCCUCCAAUCUCUGGUGUCCAGCCUCUUGUAUCCUCUGCUCAAGCCCCAUCCCAAUUCUGACCCAGAUCCAGGAGUUCAAAGAG